rnacentral:rRNA from 1 species
CGAACGGGUGAGUAACGCGUGGGUAACCUGCCUUAUAGCGGGGGAUAACUAUUGGAAACGAUAGCUAAUACCGCAUAACAAUAGAGGUUGCAUAAUCUUUAUUUGAAAGUGCCAACUGGUACACUAUGAGAUGGACCCGCGUUGUAUUAGCUAGUUGGUAGUGUAAUGGACUACCAAGGCGAUGAUACAUAGCCGACCUGAGAGGGUGAUCGGCCACAUUGGGACUGAGACACGGCCCAAACUCCUACGGGAGGCAGCAGUAGGGAAUCUUCGGCAAUGGACGAAAGUCUGACCGAGCAACGCCGCGUGAGUGAAGAAGGUUUCGGAUCGUAAAACUCUGUUGUUAGAGAAGAAUGUUGAUUAGAGUGGAAAAUUAAUCAAGUGACGGUAUCUAACCAGAAAGGGACGGCUAACUACGUGCCAGCAGCCGCGGUAAUACGUAGGUCCCGAGCGUUGUCCGGAUUUAUUGGGCGUAAAGCGAGCGCAGGUGGUUUAAUAAGUCUGAUGUAAAAGGCAGUGGCUCAACCAUUGUGUGCAUUGGAAACUGUUAGACUUGAGUGCAGUAGAGGAGAGUGGAAUUCCAUGUGUAGCGGUGAAAUGCGUAGAUAUAUGGAGGAACACCGGUGGCGAAAGCGGCUCUCUGGACUGUCACUGACACUGAGGCUCGAAAGCGUGGGUAGCAAACAGGAUUAGAUACCCUGGUAGUCCACGCCGUAAACGAUGAGUGCUAGUUGUUUGGGGCUAUCCAGCCCUAAGUGACGCAGCAAACGCAUUAAGCACUCCGCCUGGGGAGUACGACCGCAAGGUUGAAACUCAAAGGAAUUGACGGGGGCCCGCACAAGCGGUGGAGCAUGUGGUUUAAUUCGAAGCAACGCGAAGAACCUUACCAGGUCUUGACAUACUCGUGCUA